UUCAGUGUGCUCAGACCUGGAGCUUUCCAUGUUGUCAUAGCUGAACGGGUUCUAUCAUCGCCAGGGAAGUGGCAGUGAGUUGGUGAACAAUUCAACUGUCGCAAAUCACUUGGAAUUCUCUGCCUGACAGGGUCACUGUAUAAGUGCGUUUCAAGACAACAAGCGCCCCCUCUGUUGAUAUGGGUGUAAAAAUGCUGCAGUGCUUUCCUUUCUACAGACGCUGCAAAGAGAGGUGCAAAAGACAGUGCCCUCCUGAGACCGCGGUCGCAAGUGAAGAGGUAAAACCUCGGCUGUGUUCCACUACCUCCUGGGGCAGUGAAGGAGACAGCGGUAGCAGUCCGAGUUGCCCACAGGCCUAUUUUUCCCACAAGGCUCGGCUCUCACUGAGACACCAGAUGGAUAGCAACAUCAAUGCAGUGGAUGCCACAUACUAACUUUGUUCUGCAGGCUGGCCGUCUUUGGAGAAUCCUUGAAAGUACACUUCAGAUUCACAGCCCCAGUCCAGUUUAAGUCCCUUAUUGGAGAGGUUUUGCUGGAAACUGGAGAAUGAGCCAUUAGGAACAAGCAGCAUGGAAGUUUGCCUCUCCUUGCAUGCCCAUGGACACUCAUGAGCGCCAGCUGUAUGCAUUGUAAUAACAAUGUCAAGAUAAGUGUUCGAAUUUUGGUACAGCCACGAAAACGGUACAGCUGAGUGUAAUUUGGUGAAAGGGAUAUUUUAAAACACUCUUAAAAGAGUGAUGUUUACAUGAUAACCAGUAAGUGCUUUUUUUCUAGCCUGUAGCAUUUUCCCUCCACAGCCUCUGCUAUAUGUGCAUCUAUUAUCUCAAGUGGAUGCUGGUUUUAUCUGAGACACUGACGUCCUAAUGUAAUUGAGAUAUAAGUUUGUUCAGCAGGAUUUGGAUAAAUAGCUGUCUCAUCUAAUAAAAUCAACCAUGCUUUGCCUUGCUACUCAUAAAUUCAGUAUACUGUGAAGCAACAGAAUGUUUUUUUCCUUUUUCACAUUAACAGAAAGGACGUAUUUAAAGCUUAUUUAGCUUUCUAUGUAAGUGCAAUUUACUCUGCCCUGCAGCUGCAUCAAGAUCCAUUAACAUAGUGUCUAUAACACAGUUAUAACAAUUUUUAUUAUGUACAGAUUUCAAAGCUUUUUAAAAGUUUGCCCUGACGAUAAAAUAAUUUUACUUAAGGAGUGUUUUUGGAACAAUUUGAAAAAUGAUGGUGUCAUGGACAAUGUAUUAAUAUGAAGAUGGCCCAGUUUCUAAAUCUUUAUCUGACUUUUUUUUGUAUUGCAAGUAUAAAACCAGUUAAAAGAACAGAGAUGUUUGUAAUGAUCCACUCAUUGCUUCUGUUACGACAUGUUUGAAAAAACAGGUUUUACAUGCUCAUGUUGUGUAUCCGGACUUCUUCACGUUUUGUUUGCACAUGUAUUAACAUUUGUGUUUUUUAAAUGUUAAAAGUGGAUUUUUACACUCUAACCCAGUAACAGAACAGAAUUGACAAGACACUGUUACACCUUUCAAUUCACAAUAUGAAAGAGGAUAUUUUUGUAUGUUUUGUAUGCAAUGUGUACAUCAAUUAAAAAAAAAAAUGUAACAAAGUAAAAAAGACAGCAAACUAAAAUCACAAUAGGAUUAAAACAGCACGUCCUGCUGCUUUUACAGAGGAUUGUAAAAAAAACAUAAUAAAACAAUAAAAUUGUUUUCCAAAAAGAAAAAA